rnacentral:lncRNA from 1 species
GCCACGGUUUGCUACUCUGCUUUUUGGGCUCACAGGUGGGUUUAAUUCCUUGCUGAGUACACCUGGAGAGGUAGCAGGCUUGUUAUCACUGUCUGUCAGUCCCACCUAGUAGAAGGGUUCUCCUGCUAGAGAAUACUGAGCUGGUUGUAGUUACAGUGAAAUAUCAGGUGAGAUUCAAGGCAUAGGACAAGAUGAACAUACUCCAAAAAUAAAAGCAGACUUUGACUCAUGUUGUCUAGCAAGUCUCCGUAUAGUAAGCUAAAGGACUUCAGCCGAGGAACAACCUGGGCUUGUUUCCAAAGCACUUUUGGAGAGAAGUCACAGCUGCUUGCAGCAGUACAGAAGAAGACAUGCUCAGCUACACCCUUAUCAGGAUGUGUCUGUGAUUAUUAACAUCAGUGAUCUGCCUAAUUGAGAAAUUCAGAAAGAAGAAAGGACAAGCCCGUGCUUCAUUCCUUCUGUAGUUUUGCCCAAUGAGCAGCUUAGAAAUAAACCCAGC